UCUGGCUCAGGAUGAACGCUGGCGGCGUGCCUAACACAUGCAAGUCGAACGAAGCACGUUCUGGUUGAGAUUCGUCAAGAACUGGAUUUGACUAGUGCGGACGGGUGAGUAAUGUAUGAGCAACCUGCCUUUCAGAGGGGGACAACAGUUGGAAACGACUGCUAAUACCGCAUAAUGUUUUGAGAGGGCAUCCUUUUGAAACCAAAGGAGCAAUCCGCUGAAGAUGGGCUCAUAUCUGAUUAGUUAGUUGGUGAGGUAACGGCUCACCAAGACUGCGAUCAGUAGCCGGACUGAGAGGUUGAACGGCCACAUUGGGACUGAGAUACGGCCCAGACUCCUACGGGAGGCAGCAGUGGGGAAUAUUGGGCAAUGGGCGAAAGCCUGACCCAAGCAACGCCGCGUGAAGGAAGAAGGUCUUCGGAUUGUAAACUUCUUUUAUGAGGGACGAAGGACGUGACGGUACCUCAUGAAUAAGCCACGGCUAACUACGUGCCAGCAGCAGC
rnacentral:rRNA from 1 species